UUUUAGGUUAGUUCCCGAAGGUUUAGGGUUUUAAACGGUUUGUUUAUAGUAUUUUUAUGGUUUUUUACGAUUUAUGGGUUAUUAGGGAUUACGAUAUUAGAUUUAGGGUUUUGAUGACUUUUUUUAGGUUUAGUGGCUUUUUUAGGAUUUAGGUUUUCUUACAGUUUAGAGUUUCUUAGUGUUAAGUGUUUCUUAGGGAUUAGUGUUUCUUAGAGUUCAGGAUUUAUUGUUUCAUAGGAUAUAGGGUUUCUUAGGGUAAAGGGUUUCUUAGGUUUAGGCUUUUAAAGGUUUUAUAAUCUGUUUAUCUUAUAUUCUUAUCUAAUAUGUUUAUGAUGUUCUAGCUUAGGAUUAGCUUAGGGUCACUCGUGAUCCUAGGUCUCGAGUUACGUCAAGGGGGCAGCCUCGGGGAAUGACAAAAAUCAAGUCUGAAUAAAAACUUAUAACUUACUAGAGAUGCUGGGAUAUGUCCCCAGCUAGCUCUAGCAAAACUAAAACUAAAAUGGAUGACUGAAUGUAAAACAAAUAAAUCGUUUUAGAAGUAUGACGACUCACCACUAUUAUUGAUGAAUACAGAUCGGGAAUUGAUCUACACGUGAUCUGAAUGCUGAGGACCUGAACCUACAUCACGAGAAGAUGUAGCGCAGAGUAUGCGUCAGCACUUGAAAGGUACUGAUCAUGCAUGAUAGGAUAAAGUUGAACAAUUAUAUAUAACCGAAC
rnacentral:lncRNA from 1 species